rnacentral:lncRNA from 1 species
GGCCCAAAGAAUACUGAUAUGUGAAAGAAAAAGGAGGGAGGGGUUGGGGGGGGUGGCGGCGUAGAUACAGCAAACAAAAUGAUUACACAUUUUAGAGCAAUUUCUGGGUCCCGCGGUCAUAAUCAUUCUGUCGAUAGCCUUCCAGUGUGCAGGUGCGCUGAUACAGAUGGUUUUAUGAAGAUCCAUUAAAAAUAAUUUCGCUCAUCGCCAGGCCCAGGAGGGGCCCAACCCGACAACUGGGAGACGAGCCCAGAUGCCUGCUUAGGCUACAGCUCUAAGCACCCGCCCCGCAUCCCUGAUGUGGACCACCCUGUCACCAUGGAAACGCGGUCAAAUAAUAAAACCUGUCGAGGGUAGGUAGCGAGGCUUCUCGUGGACACGCGCGCACAAGCUUAGAAACAGACAUGACGUGCGCACGCACACAUCUCAAGGAGAGGAGCUCCGCUGGAGAAAGUUUAAAAAGCAGGCGUUUUCAACUUGGGCAAGAGUGAUGGCAGCUUUAAGAUAAAGUUUUUCCAGCGAUGCAAAUUCUUUGGAAAAAAAAAAUAAAAAUAGAACAGUGUUACAUAUACUGAGUGACACCUCCAGCUGCCAUCCAAAUCCACCGUCAUCCAGAUUAGCCCGGACACCGCCAGAUGCCUCACGGCCCGCAGAAGAAGAAAGGCAUAGCGAGACUCUCAUUCGUGCAAUCCACCUCCACCCCAUUGGUGCCUCACCCAAGUCGAACAUAGCUCCAUCUUCAUCUUCACCACCACCAACACCUGGACUCUGGCGUCCUGCUCUAAUGCCUAUGAUCACUGGGAUUUUGUUCUGUUGUGAUGGGUCAUCAUCUAAUCACCAA